rnacentral:rRNA from 1 species
ACUCGAGUGGCGAACGGGUGAGUAACACGUGGGUGAUCUGCCCUGCACUUCGGGAUAAGCCUGGGAAACUGGGUUUAAUACCGGAUAGGAGCCAUUUUUAGUGUGAUGGUUGGAAAGUUUUUCGGUGUAGGAUGAGCUCGCGGCCUAUCAGCUUGUUGGUGGGGUAAUGGCCUACCAAGGCGGCGACGGGUAGCCGGCCUGAGAGGGUGGACGGCCACAUUGGGACUGAGAUACGGCCCAG